rnacentral:rRNA from 1 species
UACGUAGGGUGCGAGCGUUAAUCGGAAUUACUGGGCGUAAAGCGUGCGUAGGCGGUUCGGUAAGUCAGCUGUGAAAUCCCCGGGCUCAACCUGGGAACUGCGGUUGAAACUGGCGAACUAGAAUCUGGCAGAGGGGGGUGGAAUUCCACGUGUAGCAGUGAAAUGCGUAGAGAUGUGGAGGAACACCGAUGGCGAAGGCAGCCCCCUGGGCUGAGAUUGACGCUCAGGCACGAAAGCGUGGGGAGCAAACAGG